CCCUUAGAUGUCCUGGGCCGCACGCGCGCUACACUGAGUGUCUGAGAUACGAGUCUGCCUGGUCCGGCAAGGUCUAGGUAAUCGCUAAAAGACACAUCAUGCUUGGGAUAGAUUAUUGCAAAUAUUAAUCUUGAACGAGGAAUUCCUAGUAAGCGCACGUCAACAGCUUGCGUUGAUUACGUCCCUGCCCUUUGUACACACCGCCCGUCGCUACUACUGAUUGGAUGUUUAAGCGAGGUUCUCGAACUGCUAGCGACUUAGCUUCGGUGAGGUCGCAGUGUGGGAAGUGAACCUAGCUUUGGUGUCUAGAGGAAGUAAAAGUCGUAACA
rnacentral:rRNA from 1 species